UCGCGCCACACGAGACGAGAGCAGAAUGGUGAGAGACAGUCCGACAAACAAGCAAAAAUACAGUGUAAAACCAAUGUUUAAGUCUUCGUCUCUUGGCCUCAGUUUCUUAGGACUGUGUGAAAGUUCAAUAUUGAGAAGUAUGGACGCUAAAACAAACGGUGGAGCUGUUUUUUGUCGAAUACAAGCGAGGACGCUGAACACACCUGCAGCGUGAAGGUAUCACCACUUUAUCCCUGAGUGCAGAGACUAAACCAGAGGAGACAGAGCGCAGACUCCAGGACCACUUUUACCAGGCACCACCACUUGGUCCAUGAGUCCAGAGAACAGAGACUAGACCACAGAGGCCUCCAAGUAGUUCAGAAACAUCUACUGUCCACCAGAGACAUUCGCAGUGAAUUCCCAGAAACCACUGGAUCCAGUGAAGGUAGGAAAAUAUUUUUAUUUCUUCUUCUUCCACUUCUAGACUGUCCUUAUUCCU